AUGGAUUAGGCAGAGAGCUGGAGUUUUGCCAAGCAAGGAAGACAAGGUGAGAGAGGGCCCAUGGAGUGAAGGGUCUAACCAAGGGAGCAAUUAUCAUGAUGAACUACGAAGGCUGAGCUGUUACAGAAGAGCGAUGACACGAUGGGGCUGUGGGACCUUGAAAAGGUGGCGGAUCAACAGAUCGAGGUUCCCUGGGCUGGCAAAGGAUUGCUGGAGUCAUGGUACCAGAGGAAGUGAGCUGGUGUGAGAGGAGGUGGAGGCCAGAGAGUGAAAUUCUUAACAUGGAGACUGUAGCCACUGUGUCCUGAGUCCUCAAAUCCAAUUUACAGAAAGGCCUUUGACUAACAGGUAAAAUCCAUUAAUUAAUGAGAGUUUUAAAGUUUAAAAGUGCCCCCAUGGCUGCAACUUCUGUUUGUUACUGUUUCCACAAGCAGAGGGCAGGCUAAUAAAAAUGUUACUGUAUUCCUGGAAGUUAAUGAAUAAUAAAACCACAUGCCUGGAAGCAACUUCAAGAGGUCCUAGUUCAGAUGAUUUUACAUUCUCCCACCAAUUCUGAACAUCUUGCGGAAGAAAAUGCCACCACCCAGGUACCUACAGAAACAUUUUCACAAAAUCCUACCUGAAAAGUAUGAGAAGGGAGCCGUUAGGAAGAAGUAUAUGAUUUCAAGGUGGUAUGCUUCAUGUGGUGAGAAGAGGAUGGGACAUGAUUAGAUGUGUAAAAGAGGAAGUGUUAUCGUGAUGGAAACACCCCUUUGACACCCACUACUGGGACUGCACUGCGUCAGACCUGAAGCCAUUACAGCACUGGGCCUUGCACAGGGCCCUUUGGUUGAGGGUGGCAACCUCCUCCAGUUCCUGCAUGUGUCCAGAUGCUACACUAAGAAAAUAAGACAUUAAAACAACAACAAUGCUUUUCCAAACAACUGCAAUAAAAUUUUCUUUAUUCAUUUCA